rnacentral:rRNA from 1 species
UACGAAGGGGGCUAGCGUUGCUCGGAAUCACUGGGCGUAAAGCGCACGUAGGCGGCUUUCUAAGUCAGGGGUGAAAUCCCGGAGCUCAACUCCGGAACUGCCCUUGAUACUGGGAAGCUCGAGUUCGGGAGAGGUGAGUGGAACUGCGAGUGUAGAGGUGAAAUUCGUAGAUAUUCGCAAGAACACCAGUGGCGAAGGCGGCUCACUGGCCCGAUACUGACGCUGAGGUGCGAAAGCGUGGGGAGCAAACAGG